rnacentral:lncRNA from 1 species
GAUGCCAGCACAUAACACUUGACCCAACUGUGUUCAUCCAUCCACUUUUUACAAGUAGUUCUUUGCUCAACAGUAGGACAGUUUGAUAAUACUAGGAGUUUCUGAUCGAGUACAUGACCUAAUUUUUCAGAAGUCAGGAUAAUCCUGAGAUUUCUUAACCAGUCUUUAUAGUUUGUUCCAGUCAAAUGAUUGAAUUCAAGG